rnacentral:rRNA from 1 species
UAGGGAAUCUUCCGCAAUGGGCGAAAGCCUGACGGAGCAACGCCGCGUGAGUGAUGAAGGUCUUCGGAUCGUAAAACUCUGUUAUUAGGGAAGAACAAAUGUGUAAGUAACUAUGCACGUCUUGACGGUACCUAAUCAGAAAGCCACGGCUAACUACGUGCCAGCAGCCGCGGUAAUACGUAGGUGGCAAGCGUUAUCCGGAAUUAUUGGGCGUAAAGCGCGCGUAGGCGGUUUUUUAAGUCUGAUGUGAAAGCCCACGGCUCAACCGUGGAGGGUCAUUGGAAACUGGAAAACUUGAGUGCAGAAGAGGAAAGUGGAAUUCCAUGUGCAGCGGUGAAAUGCGCAGAGAUAUGGAGGAACACCAGUGGCGAAGGCGACUUUCUGGUCUGUAACUGACGCUGAUGUGCGAAAGCGUGGGGAUCAAACAGG